rnacentral:rRNA from 1 species
CUACGGGAGGCAGCAGUGGGGAAUUUUGGACAAUGGGCGCAAGCCUGAUCCAGCAAUGCCGCGUGCAGGAAGAAGGCCUUCGGGUUGUAAACUGCUUUUGUCAGGGAAGAAAUCUUCUGGGCUAAUACCCCGGGAGGAUGACGGUACCUGAAGAAUAAGCACCGGCUAACUACGUGCCAGCAGCCGCGGUAAUACGUAGGGUGCGAGCGUUAAUCGGAAUUACUGGGCGUAAAGCGUGCGCAGGCGGCUUUGCAAGACAGAUGUGAAAUCCCCGGGCUCAACCUGGGAACUGCAUUUGUGACUGCAAGGCUAGAGUACGGCAGAGGGGGAUGGAAUUCCGCGUGUAGCAGUGAAAUGCGUAGAUAUGCGGAGGAACACCAAUGGCGAAGGCAAUCCCCUGGGCCUGUACUGACGCUCAUGCACGAAAGCGUGGGGAGCAAACAGGAUUAGAAACCCUUGUAGUCC